AAGUUGUUAUUGUUGACAUUUGAGGGAGAUGUAAAAUUACAUCUUGAAAAAUUUCAUCCUGCAGGGACUCCUCCCAUGGUGGAUAUGAUCUGUUUGGGUACGUCUUUCCUGACUUUGGUCUGAAAAGGUCCAGCUACUACUUUUCUGUGACUCCAAACCAACUGAAUGGGUGGAGUGGGCAAGUCUUUGGGAGGUUUUAAUGGAAUUUUCACAGUCAUUCUUCUGUGGAGAGCCCUAUAUUACCAACAUCUGAAGUCAUCUGAGACCACCUGUUGUACACACAGGAAGAAGAAUAGAAACAAAGAAUAAAAUGGAAGAACUCAUUUGCUAUUGGUUGUGUUUCCUAAGCGCCAUGCUUAGAAUGAAGUUCUACUGUAGCAAAAACAUUUCCAGACAUGGAAAGUGACGCCUUAGAGCAGGAGGGAAGGUCAUUUAAGCAGGAUGAGGUAAAAAAGAUGGCCUGGUGAGGGGGAAAAGUGUGUUGAAGAAAAUAAAGGUGGCAGAAUGAAUAAAUGAAUAAAAGGA
rnacentral:lncRNA from 1 species